rnacentral:tRNA from 1 species
GGCCAUGUGGCUCAGUGGUAGAGCAUUACCCAGCAUGCAUAGGACCUGGGUUCCAUCCCUAGUACUGCCA